UGGGGAAUCUUCCGCAAUGGGCGAAAGCCUGACGGAGCAACGCCGCGUGAGUGAAGACGGCCUUCGGGUUGUAAAGCUCUGUUAUACGGGACGAAUAAUCUUGUGGUUAAUACCCAUAAGAAGUGACGGUACCGUAAGAGAAAGCCACGGCUAACUACGUGCCAGCAGCCGCGGUAAUACGUAGGUGGCAAGCGUUGUCCGGAAUUAUUGGGCGUAAAGGGCGCGCAGGCGGCUUCUUAAGUCUGUCUUAAAAGUGCGGGGCUUAACCCCGUGAUGGGAUGGAAACUGGGAAGCUCAGAGUAUCGGAGAGGAAAGCGGAAUUCCUAGUGUAGCGGUGAAAUGCGUAGAUAUUAGGAAGAACACCAGUGGCGAAGGCGACUUUCUGGACGAAAACUGACGCUGAGGCGCGAAAGCCAGGGGAGCGAACGGGAUUAGAUACCCCGGUAGUCCUGGCCGUAAACGAUGGGUACUAGGUGUAGGAGGUAUCGACCCCUUCUGUGCCGGAGUUAACGCAAUAAGUACCCCGCCUGGGGAGUACGACCGCAAGGUUA
rnacentral:rRNA from 1 species